rnacentral:lncRNA from 1 species
AUGCAUAUUCUAUCACUUGUGAAAGAGUUACAUGCAAAAGUCAGCAGCUCUAAUACACGGAGUGAUUACCAGAGGGUAAAAGUAGGGUCCUGUGCAAACCCGGGGGUGUCCUCACCACACACCGCAGGAUUUCCCCCACACCCAACACCCUACAAUACAGUGUUCAACGCAAAGCACCCUGAUAACUUUUUUUUCAAUCAGCAGGUCUCUGAGAACCAUAUAUUAAAAGGCAAAUGGAAGAACAAUUUAUCUUAUUCUAGUUUCAAGCCCCAGUCCCAAUGGCUUUCCCUCGAGCAUCCUCUCUUCACCCCAGGCUGAAUGGACUGCCCUCCCGUGAAUCCCCAUGUUGUUCACUACUCCUGCUUUGAGCUCUUCCUUUGUAGUUUUGUAUUUUAACUCUACUAGUCAGUGGAAUAAAAUUACUUGUUUAAUGUCUGUAUGCAUUCUCAAGAAUUAACAAUCUAUACCAAAAUCUUAUGCAUGAAUAGGGAAAAAUAAGUCAUACAUAGUGCAUGUGUCAUUAUUAUUUUAUUUCAUCGAUUAUGAAACUGAGUCUAGGAAAAUGAACCUCAGGUUUGUAACACUGGGACACACACAACUUAAAGGAGCGAAGAUAUAUGUUGGCUUAUGGCUUCAGA